UCCAAUCCCCGGAUCCAGUUUAGCUUCCUGCGCAACUUCUCCCUAGUCCCAACCCAGCCGCAGCUCAGGGCGGCAAUCCGUCGAGCACCUGCCGCACACGCUCCACUCCGCUGCUCCCUGCGGCCACCACCACCCAUGGCGUCCGCCGCGAGGGCUCUGGGAGCUCUCCUCCACAGGGCCUCGUCUCUCUCCUCCUCUGCCUCCGCUCUCAGGAGCGCCUCCCUUCUACACAGGAAUGGCUCUGCUACUGGCGCCAGCUUGUUCCAGGGGCACGUGGCUAGGCGAAGGAUUUGGACGUUCCAGCCGCUCUGUAUGGGGCGGCGUUCCUGCAAGAUCGCCGGGAGGAAGGGUGCCCAGAAUUUGAAAAAGAUGAAGCGCAACAGCAAAAUUGGAAAAGAAAUCGUUGCUGCCAUUAAAAAGGGUGGCCCAAGUCCUUCAUCCAACACAGCUUUAGCGGCGAUACUAGAGAAAGUAAGAGAGCUGGAUGUCCCCAAGGAAGUUGUUGAGCGUAACAUCAAAAGAGCUUCAGAAAAGGGCCAGGAUACUUACAUAGAAAAGGUUUAUGAGGUUUAUGGUUUUGGUGGAGUAAGUAUGGUCGUUGAGGUCCUUACAGACAAAAUUACAAGAUCUAUUGCGGAUAUUAGAAAUGUUGUAAAGGACUGUGGAGCAAAAUUGGCUGAUCCCGGGUCUGUUACAUUCAGAUUCCGACAAGCUCGCGUGGUUAACAUAAAAGUUACAGAUGCCGAUAAGGACCAACUACUCUCUGUUGCUUUGGAUGCUGGUGCAGAUGAUGUUAUCGAACCAAAUUUUGAUGGUGAUGAUGAAGACUCUGAAGAAGAUGUUAUAGAAAGGUACCCAACUGAUAUCAAUCGAAAAUGUUUUACAAGAUAGUUACUACAUCAGAAAACUACCCUGUUGUGCUAUCAAAGCUACAAGAGGAAGGAAUAAAGUUUGAAACAGAUAAUGGUUAUGAACUUCUGCCUCUCAAUCCAGUUGAGGUAGAUGACGAGGCCAUGGAUCUAAACAAGGACCUUGUAUUGAAGUUGCUUGAACUCGAUGAUGUCGAUGCUGUCUACACGGACCAAAAGUGACGGUCGGUUCUGAACUGCAGGCUCUCAAUUCUAAUGACUCUGCCCGGCAUCUCAUAAACUUUACCUUACAUUCCAACAUUCAGUGCCCAGCGUUCUCUCCACUGACAAUCAGACGCAUAUUGGCAAUGUGGUCGUAAGCGAUACAAAUAAACAACACUGACAUAAUGUAUGGGUAUUGACGAUGAUUGUAAUGAAGAGGUUUUUGGGGAUUUUAAA